rfam:Myotis lucifugus cont2.16694, whole genome shotgun sequence.
GAGACACCCCUAUGAAGUAGGACUUGCUUCAGUGGGGCUUUGGUGCUCACUGAGUCUGCCCCUUCAGUGUGUCACU